rnacentral:rRNA from 1 species
UACGGAGGGUGCAAGCGUUGUCCGGAAUCACUGGGCGUAAAGGGCGCGUAGGCGGCUCAUGAAGGCUGUGGUGAAAGUCCGGGGCUCAACCUCGGAUCGGCCGUGGCGACUCGUGGGCUGGAGCACUGUAGAGGCGGGUGGAAUUCCGGGUGUAGCGGUGGAAUGCGUAGAGAUCCGGAAGAACACCCAUGGCGAAGGCAGCAUUCUGGGCUCAACCUGACGCUGAGGAGCGAAAGCCAGGGGAGCGAACGGG